CACCACUCCCGCAUAAAAACCCAAACGCUUCCUCUCCAUCUCUCUCCGUCUCUCUCGCCAAAUUCUAUCAUUUGAAAAGAUCCAUCUCCUCUCCUGCAUCUCCUGUUCCUUCCUUCUCCUUCUCCUUCGUCUCCUUCAGACAUGUCGCUCAACCACCCCCUCUCUACUUCAGACGGCACCCCGAACACUCUCUGGUGGACCACUCACCCCACCAUGUUCCGCCAGCACAACCUCCUCCUCAAUUUCAACCCCACCGACGACGACCCGCAAGACGAGGGCUCGCCCCCGCCGCCCUACGUCCUCCGAGGGGCGCCGCCACCGGCGGAGCCGUCGCCUGCAGAGAAAGAGCCCAUGUUCGAGAAGCCGCUGACGCCGAGCGACGUGGGGAAGCUGAACAGGCUGGUGAUACCGAAGCAGCACGCGGAGAAGCACUUCCCGCUGGUGGGCGAGGCGACCCAGCAGCUGAGCUUCGAGGACGAGUCCGGGAAGUGGUGGAGGUUCCGCUACUCCUACUGGAGCAGCAGCCAGAGCUACGUCCUCACCAAGGGCUGGAGCCGCUUCGUCAAGGACAAGCGCCUCGACGCCGGGGACGUGGUCCUCUUCCACCGCGACCGCGCCGACGCCGAACGGCUCUUCAUCGGUUGGAGGCGGCGAGGGGAGUCGUCGCCUGGCGCCUCUGCAGUGGCGGCGGAGACACGUGUCGGUGGCGGUGGCGGGGGGUUCUAUGCCGGGCGUCCUUAUCCUGGGCACAAUGAUGGGCCGUCGCAACCUGGUUCCUAUACUCAUGGUCAAGCGGGGGGCGCGCCCGCCGCUGGGAACAACCCGAGGAGGGUGAGGCUAUUCGGCGUGAACUUGGAGUGCCAGCUUGACGGCGACGAGGAGUCUGAGCUACCGGGCUCGAGCCACAGUCCGACCGGCCAUGGCCUCUCCUCUAAUUCAUCAAACUAUACCCCCUCACAUGGUCUUCACUUUAUCUGAGGAAGAUCGUGUCAACCACAUGAGAAAUCGCCGAGGAUAAGAUCUGUGGACGUGACUUCUUUCUUCUCUCUCUUUUUUUUUUUUUUUUUCAUUUUUAAAUUGGCUACGGAGCCCCAACUUGGGAGUGUUCAUUGGAAAUGUUCAAGAUUUGACAAGAAAGGGUCAAAGAAACAACAACAAAAAAAAAGGGGAGAAAAUCCCAGAUUUUUAGGCAAUCCUGAAGUUCACAGCAAAGGAAAUCAAAUUGAUCAAGGAAGAAAGACUGUAGAUGGGAACAUGAAGAGAAAGAAGGUGGGUAAAGGACCCCACAAGGGAAGAAAAAGAAAGAGAAAAGCAAGAGAUCUCUUCAUCAAUGUCAAAUGGUUGAAAUCAGGGAUCCAUAUGCUGCUCCAGAAGCUAUAUAUAUCCAUAAUUUUUAUUUUUAUUUUUUUUAUCCAUGUAAUGAAAUGUUGAAAUGGGAUUGUUCGGGUAACUAGCGAAACACCAAAAAGAAAGAAGGGAAAGAAAAAGGGAAGGGACGGUGCUGGUGGGUGGAGUUGAAUAGAUCAUUGAUGAUGAUGGCAGGAUUUGUAUUUGAGUGAUGAUCCAAAGUCAAGCAACGUGACUAUAACAAGAUCGAAGAGUGGUCCUUGGUAUCAUACCGAGAGCCCAAAAGGAUCAAGCAAUCUCAGAAGAUAACAAAAGGUCGCUCAAAGCUUGAUGGACAUGGGACAGCCCUUAUAUUUGACCAACUUAUAUUCUCUUAUCUUCUUAUGGGGCAGUAUCUGGAAUUCAUGUACUAUACCAUCGGAUUUCGACGGAAGAUGCCAAUGAUUAGCACAACUAAUUUAUCA